CUCAACUUCUACAGGCUAAAGUAACCAAGACAGGUAUAAGAUUCUUAGCUUAAUAGUUGAGGGUACUAAACACUGGUUGUGUCUGUUCUCCAUGUCAGUCAAUAACUCAUUUUGAUGAGCUGCUAUAGCCUCUGUUUGGAGAGGUUCGUGCCCACGCCUUGUCUCACUAAAUUAAAGUGGGGUUUGGCCCCUCUUAACUUUAAG